AAGGUUUAAUCGAAAGACACCUUCUUGCAUGCAUAAGUCUAUUAUAAAUCAGUAUUACAAUCUAGUGGGAGAUUGUUAGUGUAGAUUGUAAUAAAGGAUGUGAGAGAAUAACUUGAAGAAUUAAAAUUAAAAUGAAAUGAAUGGUUGUGUCUCUUGUUGAAUUAGUUAUUCUUAUGAAAAGAUAUGUCUUUUCAUUUGAUUCAAAGAGAUGUAUCUCUUUACGAAGAGACGCAUUUCUUCACGAAAAGAUAUGAACCUUUUGUGAAAGAGUAUAUCUUUUCGUUAUUCGUGAAAGGACGUGUCCUUUUGUGAAAGGAUGUAACUUUAAAGAUUGUGUCCCUUCAUCGUAACCAUUCACCUUCUAUAAAUAGGAGAUGUUUGAAGGCUUCAAGGGCAUUAUUAAUCAAUACUUUUUCCUUCCUAAUUUUUAUUGAUGCUUAAGAGAGAAGUUCUUAAGGGAAAGUAUUCAAAAGUGCUAUUUGCAGUCUUUCGGCGGUCUUGUUGUAUCCUGGAGGUGAUUUGCUGGUAACCUGACAGCAUACAUUCGAGUGGGGCAAAUAACACCUUAAAGAAAGUGGGCUUACACGCCUCAAGACCAUAAUUUACUUGAUCUCCAUUCAUAUU
rnacentral:lncRNA from 1 species